rnacentral:rRNA from 1 species
UACAGAGGGUGCGAGCGUUAAUCGGAAUUACUGGGCGUAAAGCGUGCGUAGACGGUUAUUUAAGUCGGAUGUGAAAGCCCCGGGCUCAACCUGGGAAUUGCAUUCGAGACUGAAUAGCUAGGGUGCGGUAGAGGGAAGCGGAAUUUCCGGUGUAGCGGUGAAAUGCGUAGAUAUCGGAAGGAACAUCAGUGGCGAAGGCGGGGUCUCUGGGCCGAUACUGACGCUGAGGAGCGAAAGCGUGGGGAGCGAACAGG